GAGCCGCUCCCGGCCCGCUCCAUUCGGGAACGCUCGUGCUGGGAUGCGGCGGGAUCCUCGUCCGGGCGCGACCCAGGGACCGCUCCCGGUGCUGCCCGAAUCCUGAGGCGCUCAGAUCACAGAAUAUAGUGGGGUUGAGAAGAAUCCUUAAAUCUGACUCUCAAGUACACAGUGUGUGGCAGAAUUGAACCCACAUCCUGGGCAGUACCAGGACUCUGCUCCAACUGACUGAACCAGUCUCUGGGUCACAGGAUUUACCCACCAGCUGCAGAUUUGCUCUUGCCAAGUCCUUUUGCAGGGAGAAAUGAGCAGGAAGAUCCUGAGGCUUCCCUUGCUGCAUGACCAGGGCUCUUCUGGAGAGUGGCAGGGGGCAUUUCCUGCAGCCUGAGGCCAUCACCCAGCAGCAGCACUAAAGCCAAGGCAGUCUUACCUCACAGAUACUGAAUCCAACCAACAGCCUGCAGAGAUG